rnacentral:lncRNA from 1 species
GCGCCAUAACCAUCAUCGUUCCUGAUCUCGAAGACGCUUCCAUGUGGUCGAACAAUAUGCAUGUUCAUCCAGCUACAAUGAGCCAGUAGACGGCUGAUUGUCUCCACUGUAUGCCUAUUCUUCUCCAUUGUCUCUGCCUGGUUUAUUGAGAGACACGAGCUGAUGAUUCGUAUCCAGCACGACUGUCAGGCAGAAACAGUUUAGAAAACAUAUUAUAAUUAUAAUAAUAAUAAAAAAAACAUCAGUAGAGGAAAAGUGAACAAGUAUUGACUAUAUUCAGUCUGUGUAUUAAAUAAAGACAUGAUAUAAUAAGAAAAUAAACACCAAAAGCAGAGAAAACAAAAUUUAGAAUCUUUACGCAGCAGGCUUUACCUACAGGUGCUCUCCUAUCUUAGCAGCAGUUUGGCCAGCACUAGAUAUACGUGAAUCCAACCUUGCAAAACUAUCAAACAAGCUGCCAACACAUUU